GGGCCCGGAGUGGUUCGGGAGCUCGUUCGUCAACGAGAGUCUCCGGGGUUCAAUUCCCCGCGGGUCCA
rnacentral:tRNA from 1 species